GAUGAACGCUGGCGGUCUGCUUAACACAUGCAAGUCGAACGAACUCUUCGGAGUGAGUGGCGGACGGGUGAGUAACGCGUGGGUAACCUACCCCAUACACAGGGAUAGCCAUUGGAAACGAUGAUUAAUACCUGAUAACACAUAAUGGUCGCAUGACUAUGAUGUCAAAGAUUUAUCGGUAUGGGAUGGACCCGCGUCUGAUUAGCUAGUUGGUGAGGUAAAAGCUUACCAAGGCGACGAUCAGUAGCCGACCUGAGAGGGUGAUCGGCCACACUGGAACUGAGACACGGUCCAGACUCCUACGGGAGGCAGCAGUGGGGAAUAUUGCACAAUGGGCGCAAGCCUGAUGCAGCAACGCCGCGUGAGCGAAGAAGGUCUUCGGAUCGUAAAGCUCUUUUUUCUUUAGGGAAGAAAAAUGACGGUACCUAAGGAAUAAGCACCGGCUAAAUACGUGCCAGCCGCCGCGGUAA
rnacentral:rRNA from 1 species